rnacentral:misc_RNA from 1 species
UGCAUUGCUAUGGCUUGACCUUGUGGAGCCAUCAACAACAAACAAUUUCUUUAGGGGAAAUUUGAGUGAGGAUGCAAGAUUCUCGAUCUUCAAUCUAAGCUCUCCCUGUGGAAGCGGAGUGAACUUGUUGAAAAGUGGAGCAAUUAGUACUGGGUAGAUAGUCAUCAUAACAAGAGACAAAACCAGCAUAAAUCCCCAUAAGUAAAUUGCCAAGUAAGGACCUCCUUUCUGCACUAUAACAAUAAUGGCAGCCACAAUGGGAGGACCAAUCACAAUAGAUAAAGCAAUUCCUUUUAUCAUAUCCCUGAAGUAUAACCACACUGUUUGCUUGUUGAACCCAUGGCGGGCCUCGAUAACAAAGGUUGAAUACAACGAAAAUGGCAGAUCGGUGAUCUGUGACCAAACCAUAACUCCUGCUAAAAAUGAGAGUGUGUGAAAUAUUUCAUUCUCUGCAUUGAGACCAAGGAAUACCAGAAACUCUCCUGAUCUCUUCCAAAACCAGGGCAAUAUCCGGAAGUACAAGAUGGAAGAGUCCAUAAUUAUGGUAACAAACUCGUGGAUAAAAUGGAAGUAACUUUUGUCUAGACUAUAAGCACGGGACUUCUCAAAUUUUUCCUGGCUGAUAACUCCCACCAAAGGUUUGGGAAGUGUUGGCAAUUUAUGAGCAGCAUGCUGCCGUACAUCAAGGUAUGACUCAAAUAUAUACAUUAAUAUCAUGAAACCAACAACUGCUUCCAAGUACGGAAAUGCCAUGGCGAACUCACUGUGAAGAGAG